UUUCCAUUCAGUUCAAAAUUUAACAUGGCGUUGAACGGAAGUGUCAAACGACGGUUACGGACGCAACGCAGGAAAUUCCGUGAUGUUCGAAAAGCGUGGAGCCGAUGCAGACACAACAACAAACUGCAGACGCGAUGAUAGUAAAUAAAAUUAAUUUUUUGCAUCAAAUAACGGAUUAUAAUGAUACGCAGAGUGCGAGAAAGAAAAAAAAAUUAAAGAGAAAAUGUUAAUGGAAGCCUAAGAGCAAUGGAAUGUGUAUUGGUAUAUAGAAAUCUUGUACACAAAUACAGUUAUAACAAUAAAGUGUCUUCAUAAAUUAUUGAAUACCGAUAAAUUAAAUGACUGUGUAAAGUAAGCAACAACAUGACAACAACAGCAUUAAACGAAAGAGAAUGAAAAUAAAAACAUGAAAUAUGCCAACGAGAAGGCGGGAUGGAUUACACGUCAAAUAAAAUACAACAAAAAGGACAAAAGGCGACGAAACAAGAACAACUGCUGAAAAGGCAACGGAAACGAUUUUUCAAUUGGAUAAUGCUGUAUAUAUGUAGUAUGACACCCACUCAUACAUACUUCACCAGGUAUCAAUACAUCCACAAAAAGUCACUAUUUAGUACAUAUUUUGGGACGGUGACGUCAUUGGUCUGACGUUGCAGAGGCGAUCACCGUCAACGACGAUUGCUAAUUGACUUUAGCCCUAAUUGAACGUAGGCGAUAUGUGGUUACAGUCGACGGCUCAGCGUGAUACACAGCGGAUGCCAGGAUGGAUAUUCUGCAUAAUGAAAAUAUGAUUAUACCUCGGAGAGAAGACAGCAAAUGGCCACCAAAAUCGUGAGAUUUUACUUCGCUAUAAGCCGCCAUUGACCGCGCCACCGUGAGAUAUUUGAACGGCGGAUAUUUGAACCGUAUUGUAUAAUGCAAAUAAUCGAAUACAUGUGACUGAAAAAAAAUAAAAAUAAUUGCAUUAAUAUCUAA